rnacentral:lncRNA from 1 species
CUAGAGAGAAGGCACCUUCAGGUUUGGCUGAUGAAUCCUGUAUCUCUGCCUUGUCUCCAGGCCCCCAGGUUCUGCCUCUGUCCUGACAUCCAGUGUUGGAUUCCUCUUCACAUCAACUCCUCUCUGUAGGUUGGGCCAUCAGACCCUACCUCCUUAUUUAUGUUGAGCAAAGGAGAGAGAAUGCCUCUACAAACAAUGAAAAAAGUGAAAAAAAAAAUCUUUCUCCUCCUUAUAACUUUAGUUAGCUUAACUUUAGUCAGUUGCUUAGCUACUAAACAGUAGCUAUUGGGAGGUGGGAAGGAAUACUAUUGUGUAAUCAACUAAGGCUCAUACAGAGGAUUAGGGUUAUCUGAAUUGAUUUGAAUUAAUUAGAAUUUACUCUCAGAGCUGUGGCAAUUCCUUGAACCACACUGAUUGCUAUAAAGUGGAAGAGGAAUAGAUUGAAUUUUGGGGAGUCAACUACAAUGUGUACUACAGGAACAAAACCCAUCAGAAGAUGUCAGAAGAUAAGGAUUUUUGUCCUGAUGCUACACUUACCAGCUGUCCCUCAGUGUUCUACUUCUUAAAAAAAGAGAGAUGGAUAAACAGAGGCAACCCGAGGAUAAAGGCCUUGCUCAGUGUCACACAUUUCAGUCACUAAAUAAGACACAAUGGAUGCCAGUAUUCUCAUCCCCUCACAAAUAAAGAGCCUUCAAGCUCUUGCAGUCAACAAGAACUUUUGGAAUGAUUUCACUGCCUGAAAAGGCAGAUACAUAGGUGACACCCACAAAUAGGAAGAAAAUCAACCUGAACCUGAGUGUGUGGGCUCACUGACUCUAAGCAGUAGAGACAGAAGAAAAAGUUUUAGCAAAGAAGGGUUCUGAAAGAAAAUAAAUAUAGCUCGUUAUCAAGUGCUGUUUUUACACAGUAAAACAUGGGCAAAAUUACUCUUCUUUAAGUAGUAAUUCUUAUCUCUUGAUUAAGUCACCUACUCAUUCAUUUAAUAAAUACAUACUGAUUGUUUUCUAUGUGUUGAGCACUCAUCUCUGUAUUGGAAAUAUAAUAAUGACCAAAGUUGACAAUAGUAAUAACAAUAAUAGCUAAUAUAGCAGGCACUAAUAAUUAUUUGUUGAGUAAUAUGUCAAAAUUCAGUGUGAACAGCAUUCUAUUUGGGGCUGCAUCCACUGACUAUAACACAGCUAAUCUAUCUGAAAUGUUCCAGCUUUGGGCCUCUCUAACAGAAGAAGCUGUUGUUGGGCCUGCCUCUAGUUGGCGAUGCAUCCACCAAUGAGAAUGAAUUUAUGAUCGACCACUCUUCCUGUAAAGGCCGCUGGAACUGACAGCAUUGUGAUUUUCUUUUACUGUUAGUUUUAAAUUACUAGAACCAACUCAAUUACUAGAACGAACUUUACUUCUUUGUUUCCUACUUAUCAAAACAGUAAAAACAACAAGUAAAAGAAAUGCCAUCUUAAUAUUGUUUUGAUGACAAAACAGUAUUCCUUUUAGUUGUGCUUCAAAUGGAAUAAGAUGCAAACAGGCUUGGUAUGGUGGCUCACCCCUGUAAUCCCAGCCCUUUGGGAGGCCAAGGUGGAAGGAUUGCUUGAGGCCAUGAGUUUGAGACCAGCCUGCGCAACAUAGCAAGACCGUGUCUCUACAAAAAAUAAAAAAUUAGCUGAGUGUAGUGGUGUGUGCUUGUGGUCCC